rnacentral:lncRNA from 1 species
AUCACCCUUCACCUUGGGACCUUUCAGAUGCAAAUCAAAGUCAGGCAUGGAGAUCUUGGGGGCUUUGAUGUUCAUCUCAGGCAUCUUGAAUUUAGGGCCCUUUAGUUUCGCAUCUGGACCUUCGAUAUUCACAUCAGGAACAUCAAUGUCCACCUUGGGUCCUGAGACGUCAAGGUCAGCCUUGGGCAGGUUCACAUCCACAUCUGGGCCCUCUCCUUUGAAGCCAGGCAUGCUGAACUUGGGCAUUUUCACCUUGGGCAUCUUCAGGUGCCAGUCUGGGCCAUGAACAUCCACAUCUGGGGCAUCAAUGUCCAUUUUGGGUCCUUUGAUGUCAACAUCUGGCACUUUCAUUUCACCUUCUACCUUGGGCACAGACACAUCCAUAUCCCCUUUGACUUUGGGGCCUUUCAGGUGUAAGUCCACAUCAGGCAUGGAGAUCUUGGGGGCCUUGAAGUGCAUCUCAGGCAUCUUAAACUUGGGCCCUUUCAACUUUGCAUCAGGACACUCCA